rnacentral:rRNA from 1 species
UACGAAGGGUGCAAACGUUGCUCGGAAUUAUUGGGCGUAAAGCGCACGUAGGCGGCUUGGCAAGUCGGAUGUGAAAUCCCUCGGCUCAACCAAGGAAGUGCAUCCGAAACUGCCGAGCUUGAGUACUUAAGAGGAUCGCGGAAUUCCUGGUGUAGCGGUGAAAUGCGUAGAUAUCAGGAGGAACACCGGUGGCGAAGGCGGCUACCUGGACAGAAACUGACGCUGAGGCGCGAAAGCUAGGGGAGCAAACAGG